rnacentral:rRNA from 1 species
AGAGUUUGAUCAUGGCUCAGAUUGAACGCUGGCGGAAUGCUUUACACAUGCAAGUCGAACGGUAGAGGGGGCAACCCCUCGAGAGUGGCGAACGGGUGAGUAAUAUAUCGGAACGUGCCCAGUCGUGGGGGAUAACGUAGCGAAAGUUACGCUAAUACCGCAUACGAUCUACGGAUGAAAGCGGGGGAUCGCAAGACCUCGCGCGAUUGGAGCGGCCGAUAUCAGAUUAGGUAGUUGGUGGGGUAAAGGCUCACCAAGCCAACGAUCUGUAGCUGGUCUGAGAGGACGACCAGCCACACUGGAACUGAGACACGGUCCAGACUCCUACGGGAGGCAGCAGUGGGGAAUUUUGGACAAUGGACGCAAGUCUGAUCCAGCCAUUCCGCGUGCAGGAUGAAGGCCCUCGGGUUGUAAACUGCUUUUGUACGGAACGAAAAGGUCUCUCCUAAUACGAGGGGCUCAUGACGGUACCGUAAGAAUAAGCACCGGCUAACUACGUGCCAGCAGCCGCGGUAAUACGUAGGGUGCAAGCGUUAAUCGGAAUUACUGGGCGUAAAGCGUGCGCAGGCGGUUAUGUAAGACAGAGGUGAAAUCCCCGGGCUCAACCUGGGAACGGCCUUUGUGACUGCAUAGCUAGAGUACGGUAGAGGGGGAUGGAAUUCCGCGUGUAGCAGUGAAAUGCGUAGAUAUGCGGAGGAACACCGAUGGCGAAGGCAAUCCCCUGGACCUGUACUGACGCUCAUGCACGAAAGCGUGGGGAGCAAACAGGAUUAGAUACCCUGGUAGUCCACGCCCUAAACGAUGUCAACUGGUUGUUGGGUCUUCA